rnacentral:rRNA from 1 species
AUGGGAACGCGAAGAACCUUACCUAGACUUGACAUCCCCUGAAUAACGUAGAGAUACGCGAAGCCCUUCGGGGCAGGGAGACAGGUGGUGCAUGGUUGUCGUCAGCUCGUGUCGUGAGAUGUUGGGUUAAGUCCCGCAACGAGCGCAACCCUUAUCAUUAGUUGCUACCAUUUAGUUGAGCACUCUAGUGAGACUGCCCGGGGUUAACCGGGAGGAAGGCGGGGGAUGACGUCAAAAUCAUCAUGCCCCUUAUGUCUAGGGCAACACACGUGCUACAAUGGUGAGUACAGAUAGAUGCGAUACCGCAAGGUGGAGGCCAAACUACUAAAACUCAUCCCAGUUCGGAUUGUAGGCUGCAACUCGCCUACAUGAAGUUGGAGUUGCUAGUAAUCGCG